UUGAAUUUGUUGUACAGAAAAUUUACUAAACAGAUUGUAAAAGAGCUUUAGCAAUU
rnacentral:snoRNA from 1 species